GUCUAUCUUCGGGGCAGGGUGAAAAUCCCGACCGGCGGUAAUGAAUGAGUAUAUGAAUAUGUGAGUUCUAAGCCCGCGAGCCGUUAAGGCAGGAUUUGGUGCGAUUCCAAAGCCGACAGUACAGUCUGGAUGGGAGAAGAUGGAG
rnacentral:ncRNA from 20 species